UACAGCCAUAUCACACUGAAACACCAGCUCCCAUGUGAUCACCAAAGUUAAGCAAUGUUAAACCUGGUCAGUACCUAGAUGGGUGAUCACUUGAGAAUAUCAGGUGCUGUAAG